GGCGGACGGGUUAGUAACGCGUGGGAACGUACCUUUUGCUUCGGAAUAGCCUCGGGAAACUGGGAGUAAUACCGAAUGUGCCCUUUGGGGGAAAGAUUUAUCGGCAAAAGAUCGGCCCGCGUCUGAUUAGAUAGUUGGUGGGGUAAUGGCCUACCAAGUCUGCGAUCAGUAGCUGGUUUGAGAGGAUGAUCAGCAACACUGGGACUGAGACACGGCCCAGACUCCUACGGGAGGCAGCAGUGGGGAAUCUUAGACAAUGGGCGCAAGCCUGAUCUAGCGAUGCCGCGUGAGUGACGAAGGCCUUAGGGUCGUAAAGCUCUUUCGCCAGGGAUGAUAAUGACAGUACCUGGUAAAGAAACCCCGGCUAACUCCGUGCCAGCAGCCGCGGUAAUACGGAGGGGGUUAGCGUUGUUCGGAAUUACUGGGCGUAAAGCGCACGUAGGCGGAUUAGAAAGUUGGGGGUGAAAUCCCAGGGCUCAACCCUGGAACUGCCUCCAAAACUACUAGUCUAGAGUUCGAGAGAGGUGAGUGGAAUUCCGAGUGUAGAGGUGAAAUUCGUAGAUAUUCGGAGGAACACCAGUGGCGAAGGCGGCUCACUG
rnacentral:rRNA from 1 species